CUACGGGGGGCAGCAGUGAGGAAUAUUGCACAAUGGGGGGAACCCUGAUGCAGCAACGCCGCGUGGAGGAUGACGCAUUUCGGUGUGUAAACUCCUUUUAUAUGUCAAGAAAAUGACGGUAGCAUAUGAAUAAGCACCGGCUAACUCCGUGCCAGCAGCCGCGGUAAUAGGGAGGGUGCAAGCGUUACUCGGAAUCACUGGGCGUAAAGGACGCGUAGGCGGGUUGGAAAGUCAGGUGUGAAAUCCUACAGCUUAACUGUAGAACUGCACUUGAAACUUCUAAUCUAGAGUAUGGGAGGGGGAGGUGGAAUUAGUGGUGUAGGGGUAAAAUCCGUAGAUAUCACUAGGAAUACCUAAAGCGAAGGCGAUCUCCUGGAACAUUACUGACGCUAAGGCGUGAAAGCGUGGGGAGCAAACAGGAUUAGAUACCCCGGUAGUC
rnacentral:rRNA from 1 species